GCUUUAUUUGUUCAGAUGUUCUUUCAGCUACUCUAGACUGUAAGAAUACAGCAAUGCAGAAGCUGGUUUCUGCUAUUCCUCUUCAUCACCAGUAAUUUUUUUCUUAAGAGCUUGAAUAUCACUUCUCAGUUCAUCCCUUCCACUCUUAAAGAGAAGAUAUCUGUAGACGAACCAUCCAAAAUAUCCAAGCCCAACCAACUCCAAAAACUUGGGUAACAGUGGUAUGGAGUCUAAUGCAUCAGCAAUGAUUGAAGAAAACCAAAGACCAAGGAUUGCAGAACCUCCAUAAAGAAAGAUUGUGGGUUUCUUUUCAAGUCCAUCCCACGUG
rnacentral:misc_RNA from 1 species